rnacentral:rRNA from 1 species
AAUAGAUACCCGGGUAGUCCACCCCGUAAACGUUGGGAACUAGUUGUGGGGUCCUUUCCACGGAUUCCGUGACGCAGCUAACGCAUUAAGUUCCCCGCCUGGGGAGUACGGCCGCAAGGCUAAAACUCAAAGGAAUUGACGGGGACCCGCACAAGCGGCGGAGCAUGCGGAUUAAUUCGAUGCAACGCGAAGAACCUUACCAAGGCUUGACAUACACCAGAACACCCUGGAAACAGAGGACUCUUUGGACACUGGUGAACAGGUGGUGCAUGGUUGUCGUCAGCUCGUGUCGUGAGAUGUUGGGUUAAGUCCCGCAACGAGCGCAACCCUCGUUCUAUGUUGCCAGCACGUUAUGGUGGGAACUCAUGGGAUACUGCCGGGGUCAACUCGGAGGAAGGUGGGGAUGACGUCAAAUCAUCAUGCCCCUUAUGUCUUGGGCUUCACGCAUGCUACAAUGGCCGGUACAAUGGGCUGCGAUACCGUGAGGUGGAGCGAAUCCCAAAAAGUCGGUCCCAGUUCGGAUUGAGGUCUGCAACUCGA